rnacentral:rRNA from 1 species
UAUCCUACGGGAGGCAGCAGUGAGGAAUAUUGGUCAAUGGGCGGAAGCCUGAACCAGCCAAGUCGCGUGAGGGAAGAAGGCCCUGCGGGUCGCAGACCUCUUUGGACGGGGAGCAAGGCCGCCGACGUGUCGACGGAAGGAGAGUACCCGUAGAACAAGCAUCGGCUAACUCCGUGCCAGCAGCCGCGGUAAUACGUAGGUGGCAAGCGUUAUCCGGAUUUAUUGGGUGUAAAGGGCGUGUAGGCGGGAAUGCAAGUCAGAUGUGAAAACUAUGGGCCCAACCCAUAGCCUGCAUUUGAAA